AGAAAGCAAGCACAAAUCAAGUAUUGAACAUGAUGAUGUUGUUGACUCAUUUAAGUUUAUUCAACCAAAUGGAACUCUUGAAUUGACACUACACACUACACAGCAGGCAGGAUGGACUGUUAAUCCUACCAGGAAUCCAAUGAAAUUAUUUCAGUCAAGAGUAGACGAGUUUCCAUUAACUCCUUCAUAUGCCACUUGCAGUAUGUCAGUGUAUGCAAAACCUGGUAUUGCUCAGGAUCCACUUCAUUGUCCUAUUAAAUUAACUGGAAUAGACCCUUCAAUAAUAAUUUACAUCGACAGAUCACCUCCUCUUCUAUCAAUAAACUUUAGCUCUACC